AUGCGGAAAGGUCCCCAACUUCCGGCGGAGCCGGAAACAUUUCGGUCGGAAAGUUUUCAGUCUGGGACGCUAGAGAGCGACGGAGACCGGAAAAUCACUCAAAACACUGCCAGCAUCAGCAAGAAGAUGAUGAUAUGAACAUUUAGCAGAUAUGGAGCAACAUCUGGCCUCACCUGGAGCAGUGGAAGCAAAAACACAUCCAGAGUGAAGUUUCUGACUACUUGAUGGAGACUCUUCUCGUGUACGGCGAGUUCGGGCUCUGGACUGACGGACAGGGCCGGCUGCUGGCCCUGGAGUGUCUGAACUCGGUGGGGUGAAUCCAGACCCCGAAGAAUAACUCGGGCCUGGCAUGUCAAACGGAUCAACC